UUCUCAUCGAUCCAGCCAUGAGUGCAGCUGCACCAAGGACAGCAUAAAGCCCUUGGUCAAUACUUGUGUAUGAUCCCAUUGCAGCGCCAAGCAUUCGGCCAUAUGCAGCACCCAUGAGGAUGAUGGGGAGGAAGAGACCAGACGGUGUUGCAAUACCAAAUGUGAAAAGCCCCAAGAUGCAGUAUAGCACAAAGAAUAUCCAAAGGGAACCCAUACCAAACUCAUUG